ACUGCACAUGUGCGCCUGCCAGGUGAGCUGGAAAACGUGAACUGUUGGUAGCUCUGGAGGACCAGGGUUGGCUACCACUGAUAUAAGGACAUAACACCCCAAGUCCUGACAAGUCUUCAUUCUCUCAUACAUUACCUGUGGCAGUGACAUCACAAUGCCACAGCGGUGUUCUAACUGCAGUAGGGUAUAAAGCAGGAGCCCAGAGCCCAUUCAUCAGUCUGACCCUGACAAGAGAAAACAACAACCAUGGCUCAGCUAAGAAGAGUUCAUGCUGGCAGAAGACAUGCCAAGAGAAGACGACAUGUCCACAGACCUAGCCACGUACACAGAAGACAAAGACGCAGAAGGGCACCGAAACCAAAAAGCCACCGGAGAGCAGGCUACAGACGCAGACGCCGUCAUCACGUAGAAUGAUGGACGCGGUCCUGCGCCUUCUCCCUGCUCACUGACUCUUCCGCAACAAAAAACUCCAAUAAAUGAAUGUACAUGACACAGCAGGACAAUGAAGGCUUCCUCUUCGGCAUACGCUUCGUCAUAAUCUUACCAGACUCUUGUCUUGUUCAGCAACAAAAAAAUAAAUAAAAAAAAUAAAAAAAAUCAUAGCAAAAAAUAAAA